UACGUAGGUGGCAAGCGUUGUCCGGAUUUACUGGGCGUAAAGAGCGCGCAGGCGGUCGUUCAAGUCGCGUGUGAAAGCCCCCGGCUCAACUGGGGAGGGUCACGCGAUACUGAUCGACUCGAAGGCAGGAGAGGGUAGUGGAAUUCCUGGUGUAGCGGUGAAAUGCGCAGAUAUCAGGAGGAACACCGGUGGCGAAGGCAGGUCACUGGGCCGCAACUGACGCUGAGGCGCGAAAGCGUGGGGAGCAAACAGG
rnacentral:rRNA from 1 species